rnacentral:rRNA from 1 species
AGAUCGAACUGUAGAGUUUGAUCCUGGCUCAGAUUGAACGCUGGCGGCAUGCCUUACACAUGCAAGUCGAACGGUAACAGGUCUUCGGAUGCUGACGAGUGGCGAACGGGUGAGUAAUACAUCGGAACGUGCCCGAUCGUGGGGGAUAACGGAGCGAAAGCUUUGCUAAUACCGCAUACGAUCUACGGAUGAAAGCAGGGGACCGCAAGGCCUUGCGCGGACGGAGCGGCCGAUGGCAGAUUAGGUAGUUGGUGGGAUAAAAGCUUACCAUCUGUAGCUGGUCUGAGAGGACGACCAGCCACACUGGGACUGAGACACGGCCCAGACUCCUACGGGAGGCAGCAGUGGGGAAUUUUGGACAAUGGGCGAAAGCCUGAUCCAGCCAUGCCGCGUGCAGGAUGAAGGCCUUCGGGUUGUAAACUGCUUUUGUACGGAACGAAAAGACUCCUUCUAAUAAAGGGGGUCCAUGACGGUACCGUAAGAAUAAGCACCGGCUAACUACGUGCCAGCAGCCGCGGUAAUACGUAGGGUGCAAGCGUUAAUCGGAAUUACUGGGCGUAAAGCGUGCGCAGGCGGUUAUAUAAGACAGAUGUGAAAUCCCCGGGCUCAACCUGGGAACUGCAUUUGUGACUGUAUAGCUAGAGUACGGCAGAGGGGGAUGGAAUUCCGCGUGUAGCAGUGAAAUGCGUAGAUAUGCGGAGGAACACCGAUGGCGAAGGCAAUCCCCUGGGCCUG